CUCUUAUCAAGAGUGGCAGAGGGACUGGCCCGAUGACGCCCAGCAACCGUUCCGUUUGGAAUUGGUGCUAAAUCCUGCAAAACAAUUUAUUGUUUUGAAAGAUAAGAG
rfam:Bacillus sp. OV166 genome assembly, contig: Ga0115450_11